rnacentral:rRNA from 1 species
GACGAACGCUGGCGGCGUGCCUAAUACAUGCAAGUAGAACGCUGAAGGAGGAGCUUGCUUCUCCGGAUGAGUUGCGAACGGGUGAGUAACGCGUAGGUAACCUGCCUGGUAGCGGGGGAUAACUAUUGGAAACGAUAGCUAAUACCGCAUAACAGUAGAUAUUGCAUGAUAUCUGCUUGAAAGGUGCAAAUGCAUCACUACCAGAUGGACCUGCGUUGUAUUAGCUAGUUGGUGGGGUAACGGCUCACCAAGGCGACGAUACAUAGCCGACCUGAGAGGGUGAUCGGCCACACUGGGACUGAGACACGGCCCAGACUCCUACGGGAGGCAGCAGUAGGGAAUCUUCGGCAAUGGACGGAAGUCUGACCGAGCAACGCCGCGUGAGUGAAGAAGGUUUUCGGAUCGUAAAGCUCUGUUGUAAGAGAAGAAUGAGUGUGAGAGUGGAAAGUUCACACUGUGACGGUAUCUACCAG